rnacentral:rRNA from 1 species
AUGAACGCUGGCGGCGUGCCUAAUACAUGCCAGUCGAGCGAACAGACGAGGAGCUUGCUCCUCUGACGUUAGCGGCGGACGGGUGAGUAACACGUGGAUAACCUACCUAUAAGACUGGGAUAACUUCGGGAAACCGGAGCUAAUACCGGAUAAUAUAUUUAACCGCAUGGUUCAAUAGUGAAAGACGGUUUUGCUGUCACUUAUAGAUGGAUCCGCGCCGCAUUAGCUAGUUGGUAAGGUAACGGCUUACCAAGGCGACGAUGCGUAGCCGACCUGAGAGGGUGAUCGGCCACACUGGAACUGAGACACGGUCCAGAAUCCUACGGGAGGCAGCAGUAGGGAAUCUUCCGCAAUGGGCGAAAGCCUGACGGAGCAACGCCGCGUGAGUGAUGAAGGUCUUCGGAUCGUAAAACUCUGUUAUUAGGGAAGAACAAAUGUGUAAGUAACUAUGCACGUCUUGACGGUACCUAAUCAGAAAGCCACGGCUAACUACGUG